rnacentral:lncRNA from 1 species
GUUUAUCUGUAGGAAGAUGCAUUUGGCAUGGGCCCUGCAAGAACUUCACAUCCAUCGCUGGAGCUGGAGGAGGAGAAGGGAAAGCAAACAGUGUUGGGUGUCCUCAGCAAUUUCAUCACUCUGAAUAAUGAGCCUACAAGCUGGCUGGGGAGCUCUCAAGGGACACCUGUGUGCAGGAGAUGGACACAACACGCAUCUUGGAUGGGCCAAUCGCUGGAGUGCAUUUUCUCUCUAAUUUUCUACAUCAGUGAGAACACAGAGCAGCACCAUCCAUCAUCAUCAAAGUCAUCUCCAGAAGCCACCUCCUGCCUCUCCAUCGAGGGAUGCUGCACCUCUGUGUCCUGCAUGAAGGCCACAGGUGGUACAACACAUGGUGUUGCAGGUAUGGCUUCUCAGAGCAGCCAAGGGUCAGAUAAUCACUUAGGUUGGAAAAGACCAUGGAGAUCAUCUACCCCAACCACAGCCUCUUCCAGGCAAGGUCUCCUGCUUGUACCAACCCUGCUCCAAUGCUGUGCAGCUCUUGCUUGCUUCUGUAGUAGCUGCUUUGUUUACUUCCACAGUGCCUGCCCUUUUGGUAAUGAGCUAUAAUUCAUCCUGCUUUACACAGUGCUCAGAGGUACCUGGAGCAAGAAAGGUGUGCUGUUACAAACACCCUCUCCAGAGCAGAGGUUGCUGAUAUCCCAGAGCUGUACAAUGAAGAGGCAGUGGGGGGAGGUGGAAAAGGGGAAUAUUUCAUGCCCCCCCCCAGGGUGAAGGUGCUGUCUGGGAGGCAGCAUGCAGGUGCAGAUGGAAGGCAGUGACAUGCAGACAGGGUGGAGGGAUGAAAGAUAGAUUCUUUUUUUAAACCUGCUUUCCUCUCUUCCCCUGCUUUAUAACCUGUUUUUAUAGAGACUGCACGAGGAACACACUUUUUUAUUAGCAGCCUGGGAGUGGAGAGUAAUAAAGAUUAAUUUUUUAAAUAAUUCCUUGCA